AUGUUCCCUUCGGGGCAGCGGAGACAGGUGGUGCAUGGUUGUCGUCAGCUCGUGUCGUGAGAUGUUGGGUUAAGUCCCGCAACGAGCGCAACCCCUAUCCCCAGUAGCCAGCGAGCAAAGGUGGGCACUCUGUGGAGACUGCCAGGGACAACCUGGAGGAAGGUGGGGAUGACGUCAAAUCAUCAUGCCCCUUAUGGUCUGGGCUACACACGUGCUACAAUGGCGUAAACAGAGGGAAGCGAGAUGGUGACAUGGAGCGAAUCCCAAAAAUAACGUCUCAGUUCGGAUUGUAGUCUGCAACCCGGCUACAUGAAGCUGGAAUCGCUAGUAAUCGCGGAUCAGAAUGCCGCGGUGAAUACGUUCCCGGGUCUUGUACACACCGA
rnacentral:rRNA from 1 species